UGGGUGGUCCUGGUGGCUAUCAGACAUCACCGAUCAUGGUGAUGCCCGGAUUUAACCCCAAUCAAAUUUGAUUGUAACAUCUAAAAUACAAGUAACAAUGUCCAGGCAGCUCUGUGAAAUGAUACGUUGCCCAGUCUGCACCAGCAAGACAUGCUUGACAAAUGGGUGAAGAGGUGACACUGUCCUGAUUUCGGAGCCAGGGUACCUUUCACAGUUCAGGAAAACCAAGAAGUAAGAAAAAUCUUUUGUAUGCAGAUCUCUGGAGGAAAGAAGAACAUAGAACUCCUAGCAAGGUUUUACAGCAUUCAGCGACAUAUACACCUGCCGGGAUUAUCAAAACCAACAUAAGAGGCGUUUAUGAAUCCUCCA